rnacentral:rRNA from 1 species
UGAGCAAUCUGCCCCUGACUCUGGGAUAAGCGCUGGAAACGGCGUCUAAUACCGGAUACGAGCUGCGAAGGCAUCUUCAGCAGCUGGAAAGAACUUCGGUCAGGGAUGAGCUCGCGGCCUAUCAGCUAGUUGGUGAGGUAAUGGCUCACCAAGGCGUCGACGGGUAGCCGGCCUGAGAGGGCGACCGGCCACACUGAGACUGAGACACGGCAGA